rnacentral:rRNA from 1 species
AGGAAUAUUGGUCAAUGGGCGGGAGCCUGAACCAGCCAAGUCGCGUGAGGGAAGACGGUCCUACGGAUUGUAAACCUCUUUUGCCGGGGAGCAACGGGGUCCUUGCGAGGUCCCAAUGAGAGUACCCGGAGAAAAAGCAUCGGCUAACUCCGUGCCAGCAGCCGCGGUAAUACGGAGGAUGCGAGCGUUAUCCGGAUUUAUUGGGUUUAAAGGGUGCGUAGGCGGGCUGUUAAGUCAGCGGUCAAAUGUCGGGGCUCAACCCCGGCCUGCCGUUGAAACUGGCGGCCUCGAGUGGGCGAGAAGUAUGCGGAAUGCGUGGUGUAGCGGUGAAAUGCAUAGAUAUUAGGAGGAACACCAGUGGCGAAGGCGGCUUACUGGACUGUAACUGACGUUGAGGCUCGAAAGCGUGGGGAGCAAACAG